GGUUGAUCCUGCCAGUAGUCAUAUGCUUGUCUCAAAGAUUAAGCCAUGCAAGUCUAAGUAUUAGUUUUUAUACAACGAAACUGCGAAUGGCUCAUUAAAACAGUUAUAGUUUACGUGAAUCUGAUUACUACACGGAUAACCGUGGUAAUUCUGGAGCUAAUACGUGCUUAACGCCCUGCUCUGCAAGGCGGCAUCUAUUAGAUUGAGAACUAACCUAUGCUUGCAUAGUCGUUGGAUGAUCCAUAAUAGGCUUGUGAAUCGCAUGGCUUCGGCUGGCGAUAGUUCACUUAAGU
rnacentral:rRNA from 1 species